GACGAACGCUGGCUUGCGUGCUUAACACAUGCAAGUCGAACGGAAAGGCCCUGCUUUUGUGGGGUGCUCGAGUGGCGAACGGGUGAGUAACACGUGAGUAACCUGCCCUUGACUUUGGGAUAACUUCAGGAAACUGGGGCUAAUACCGGAUAGGAGCUCCUGCUGCAUGGUGGGGGUUGGAAAGUUUCGGCGGUUGGGGAUGGACUCGCGGCUUAUCAGCUUGUUGGUGGGGUAGUGGCUUACCAAGGCUUUGACGGGUAGCCGGCCUGAGAGGGUGACCGGCCACAUUGGGACUGAGAUACGGCCCAGACUCCUACGGGAGGCAGCAGUGGGGAAUAUUGCACAAUGGGCGGAAGCCUGAUGCAGCAACGCCGCGUGCGGGAUGACGGCCUUCGGGUUGUAAACCGCUUUCGCCUGUGACGAAGCGUGAGUGACGGUAAUGGGUAAAGAAGCACCGGCUAACUACGUGCCAGCAGCCGCGGUGAUACGUAGGGUGCGAGCGUUGUCCGGAUUUAUUGGGCGUAAAGGGCUCGUAGGUGGUUGAUCGCGUCGGAAGUGUAAUCUUGGGGCUUAACCCUGAGCGUGCUUUCGAUACGGGUUGACUUGAGGAAGGUAGGGGAGAAUGGAAUUCCUGGUGGAGCGGUGGAAUGCGCAGAUAUCAGGAGGAACACCAGUGGCGAAGGCGGUUCUCUGGGCCUUUCCUGACGCUGAGGAGCGAAAGCGUGGGGAGCGAACAGGCUUAGAUACCCUGGUAGUCCACGCUGUAAACGGUGGGUACUAGGUGUGGGGUCCAUUCCACGGGUUCCGUGCCGUAGCUAACGCUUUAAGUACCCCGCCUGGGGAGUACGGCCGCAAGGCUAAAACUCAAAGGAAUUGACGGGGCCCCGCACAAGCGGCGGAGCAUGCGGAUUAAUUCGAUGCAACGCGUAGAACCUUACCUGGGUUUGACAUGGAUCGGGAGUGCUCAGAGAUGGGUGUGCCUCUUUUGGGGUCGGUUCACAGGUGGUGCAUGCCUGUCGUCAGCUCGUGUCGUGAGAUGUUGGGUUAAGUCCCGCAACGAGCGCAACCCUUGUUCACUGUUGCCAGCACGUUAUGGUGGGGACUCAGUGGAGACCGCCGGGGUCAACUCGGAGGAAGGUGGGGAUGACGUCAAGUCAUCAUGCCCCUUAUGUCCAGGGCUUCACGCAUGCUACAAUGGCUGGUACAGAGAGUGGCGAGCCUGUGAGGGUGAGCGAAUCUCGGAAAGCCGGUCUCAGUUCGGAUUGGGGUCUGCAACUCGACCUCAUGAAGUCGGAGUCGCUAGUAAUCGCAGAUCAGCAACGCUGCGGUGAAUACGUUCCCGGGGCU
rnacentral:rRNA from 1 species